rnacentral:rRNA from 1 species
AAACAUGGCUCCUUGAAAUUACUAAUUAAUAAGGAGUUGGACCUGCCCAGUGAAAAUUUUUAACGGCCGCGGUACUCUGACCGUGCAAAGGUAGCAUAAUCAUUUGCCUUAUAAUUAAAGGCUAGAAUGAAUGGUUUGACAAGAAUAUAACUGUCUCUUUAUAAUUUAAUAGAAUUUUGUUUUUAGGUGAAGAAACCUAUAUAUAAUUAAAAGACAAGAAGACCCUAUCGAGCUUAUAUAAAAUUUUAUAGAACUUAAAUUAAUAAAGUUAAAAAAUUGCCUAUAAAAAAAAUUAGUUGGGGCGACUGAGGAACAUAAAAAGCUUCCUUUAAGUUUAUUUAAAUCAGAUAUGAAUUGAUCCAAAGUAUUUUGAUUAAAGGAAUUAGUUACCGUAGGGAUAACAGCAUUAUCUUUUUUAAGAGUUCAUAUCGAAAAAAAGGCUUGUGACCUCGAUGUUGGACCAGAAUAUCCUAAAGAUGCAGCAGUCUUUAAAGGUUGGUCUGUUCGACCAUUAAAAUUCUACCUGA